rnacentral:rRNA from 1 species
UACGAAGGGUGCAAGCGUUAAUCGGAAUUACUGGGCGUAAAGAGCUCGUAGGCGGUUUGUCGCGUCUGCUGUGAAAUCUGGGGGCUCAACCCCCAGCCUGCAGUGGGUACGGGCAGACUAGAGUGCGGUAGGGGAGAUUGGAAUUCCUGGUGUAGCGGUGGAAUGCGCAGAUAUCAGGAGGAACACCAAUGGCGAAGGCAGAUCUCUGGGCCGUAACUGACGCUGAGGAGCGAAAGCAUGGGGAGCGAACAGG